UUGUUGCCUAUCCAAAAGGGAGAACAUGCUGCUAGAACUCUUGAGAAUGCUGGUUCUCCCAAGUUUUCCAGCCCAACUUUGAAAGACAAGAUGUAGGUUUGUAUCCAUCUUUACUAGUACCUGUAGGUUCCUGCUUCAAUUUAACACCCCAUCCCCAUUUGCCCCCACUGGAGAAUGGAGACAGCACACAGUGAUCAGCAACCACCUCUCAAAGAAAAGAAGCAGCAGUCUGCCUUACGAAUGCGGCUACCAGAGAGAAAAAUGAGCCAGAAGUGGAGUUCCAUUCCCAAAACAGUUGUUACCCAAGCCUAUCCAAACAGUACCUGCAUCUGCCACUGAGACCGUUAGAGCAAAUGAGCUAACCGUGUGAGAAGUCAAAGCAACCGAGUGAGCAGUCUAAGGAGCUUCGUUAAGAAAGCAAUUUUCCCUGGAGAUGUGGAUUCAAAUGCCCCCAUCACCAGCCAGCUGAUACUCAGAUACCAUCGUGAUAGAGCUUUUUUUUUGGUUACAAUUUAUAAUAUCUGUGCUAUCUGUAUAGAGUUGGGUACAAAAUUUACAAUUCUCGCCCUCCUCCCCCCCUUUUUUUUUUCAAGAAGCAAAACCAAACCAAAUAGACCAAAAAAAAGUCUCUCCACCCAAACUACUCCUUCAAGCAGAUGCUUGAGAAAUUAGAUCAACCUGGCACUCUUCCCUGAAGUUCAGUAGAAUCAGCCUUUGUCUGGUAAGGGAGCGCUAACAAAUUCCAGUGUCACAGGGGGCCCCACUACUGAGAACCGUGUCCCCAGUCCCAGAUGUUUAAAAUCUAAAGACUAUUGUCUUGAGCACUUUAACUAAUCUCAGUUGCUACUGUGGUGUGUCUGGAGACAGAUUUUUUUCUCAAGAACAUAGGGUUUAUGCAAUGUAGGGCUCUAAAGCUCACUCUGCUGGAGCAGUGAACUCAUAACAUUUUCCUACUGACUUCUAGGUUUGCGGCUUUCCCUUUUUGUCCAUCCCUCAACUGACUAAUUUUUAGCCACUGUGCUGUUGGUGAAAGCUCAAAAGCAGCAGUGGAGUAGCGUUAAAUCAAUACAGCUUCCCAUGUUUAAUAAUCACCUCCUUUCUCAACUCACCCCAUACAUAAUUGAUUUGAAAAAUCCAUUAAAAACAAUGGGAGAACCAAAACUUUAGUCACCUUGUCCUUUUUUCCCCUCUUAGACCUGCACAACUUCUCUGAAAUGAAUCUCCCUUGGCUUUUACAGUAAAGAAUAAGAAUUCAGCACAAUGACCUUAGGUAAAGCUUUUGCCUUCUAUUUUAUUUUUAUCUUGGUUUUGCUCAUACAAUCUCCUUAUUGCUGCAGAAGUGACCAUUUUCAUUUCAAAGAGUUUUUGAAAAUAUUCUUGUUGAAGUUCAAUCUAAUUAAUUUUGUACUUGAAAAUGUCAUUCAAUUUUUGCAAACAGUGCAUUUAAAUAUUCAACAUGGUGAAUUCUUUUGCAACUCUAUUACAUCUCCUGUGCUGUCAAUCUUUUUCCAUGUGAUUUUAGUCCAAACUGAAUUUAAUGGACAUGGAAUUGAUUGAGUUUAUAUAAAUAAGAGACCUGAUCAGUCUACUUCUUACCAAGCAUUUUAACAUAUGAAAAAUUUUAAAAACAAACUUUUUUUGCUUUUAGCUAGCUUUUUCCUGAUGCAUUUUGUACCCUGAGAAAAGCAUUUGGUUGAUGUAUCUACUUAAGGUAGCAUCCUUUUGGAUUUUCAUAUUGCUAUUGGAUCAAUCCAGCACUUUUUGGUCAGACAAAACUCCGACAGGCCAAUAAUCUUAACUGCUAUUAUCCUUGCUUGUGUAGCUUCAUUAAGAAAGCAAAGGUUACUUUCACGGGACUUUUUUUCUUUCAGUGGUUCGUGUUUAUUAUUUACUAUUAUACAUCCAAUAUGAUAUGCAUCCGAAGAAGUGGGCUGUAAUCCACGAAAGCUUAUGCUCUAAUAAAUUUGUUAGUCUCUAA